ensembl:lncRNA
UCCCACUCCCUCCUUCCCUGCCUUCUCUCUUCCUCUUCUUUUUGUCCCAGACCUGUCAUUUCACUGGUACAGGUAAAUGUCGAUGAAGACACUUCCUCUCCGGAUGCAGGUCAGUAACUCUUCGGUGACCGAUAGUCUUAGAAAGCUGUCUGAGGGCACUGAGAGAGAAAUCCAGGUGGCCCAGUGCGGAUGUGUCAUCGGUAGGACUUGCACCCAGAUCUCACUGGCCCUGAGGACAGCUCUGUGUCUACCCCCUUAUACUCCCCACCCAGCAGUAUGCCCUGGGUACUUCCUAAGUGUUUCUUAACUUCUGACCGCUGGCCCAGGGGCACCGAUAAAAUCCUCGGCUGAGCUGUGCCCCGGCCAGCCAGCCAGCCAGCGGGGGCCCUCUCACCGCUUUGGCUUCCUGCUCAACAGACUCGGGACGGGGUGUGGCCCUUGAGGAUGGACGCGCUGGCAGUGACAUUGUCAGCAGAGCCCGCCACUCUGUGGAAAUCCGAAUGGCGCUUUCCUGUGGGCCAUCGACGCUCUAAUGAUCACUUGGAGCUCCAGGACAGAUGUCUGCCAUUCCUGGGCUCAGUGGCUUUCGGAAAAGCCUUUUUGUUUUGGUGGCAUCAGCAGGAAAAGAGGAAAUUAGUUGGAAACGAGGCUCCGUUAAAACAAUAGUUGGAGGCGGCCGAGCUUGGAUAAACAGUCCCUGCUGCUGCCCCAGCAUCAGCAGGGGGCCUGGAGCCCCGCUCUUUGUGAUCUGACCUGAUGAGGCCAGCAGCCUGGCGCCCACGAAGGGUCUGCUCAGAAGCAUCAGCUGACGGCCGAGGCAGGGCCGGGCACCGAGCGGCUGCUCCGAGUGCCGAGCCAAUCGGUUUGAGAGAGCCCUCCAGUUCUGGCUGCCUCAGCAACCUGCAGGUCCCAGCUCUUGGGCUGGCCAGCUGCUUGGCUCUGGGCAGUGUGAGCUCAGCACGCCCGGGGCCCCCUACGAGACCCUUCGGUCCCUGCCAGUGUUUGGUUUCCAUGGAGACGGGCUGCCUUCCUGCAUCCCUCUGCUUUAGAGACACUCACCACUGAUCUGCAGACAUUCCAUUUCUGCUGUUACUCCCUGCUCUUUCAUCAUGCCCAUUGACCGGAAUUAGCUUGGACCUCGCUGCCCUGCCCAGACCUGCUCAGGAAAACAGGAGGCGAGCAGUGAUACUUGGGCCAUCCAGACUGAAAGGGGCACCCUAAGGGAGGUGUACAUUUUAGGAGGCUUGGGAGUGUGUGUGCUCAUUUUAGGACCUGCCCCUGCUUUGGUCCUGGUGACCCACCUGGAACUAGGUGUGGCAAAGAAGGGCAUUGGCCCUGAUGGGAGGCUGGGAAAGACAAACAUUACUGCUGCCUCCUCUGACCAGGGAGGAAAUAAGCACUAUGGAGUGCCUACUAUGUGCCAGGCAUUGUAUGAAGAGGGAAGGUGAGAGGAGUGAACACAGCUCUUAGGAAAGCUGGAUAGAGGCCUGCCUCAACUUCCCAAAGGUAGCCUGAGAGUGUCCAGAAGGAGUGGGGAAGGGGAUGAUGAGAUGCCUUGGGUUUAGCCUUCAGGAAGCCCCUGAUUCUUCAUCACCUAAACUUUGAGGUUUUGAAAACUGGUCCCCCAUUCCCUUGAGACAGACUUAAUCAAUAAAUAAAAAAACCAUUUACUAAGCA